AUUGAACGCUAGCGGGAGGCUUUACACAUGCAAGUCGAACGAGUGGCGGACGGGUGAGUAUUAUAUCGGAACGUGCCCAGUAGCCGGGGAUAACUACCCGAAAGAGUGGCUAAUACCGCCUACUAUUGGAGCGGCGGAUAUCGGUUUAGCUAGUUGGUGGGGUAAAGGCUCACCAAGGCAACGAUCCGUAGCUGGUUUGAGAGGACGACCAGCCACACUGCAACGGAGACGCGGCCCGGACUCCAACCGGAGGGAGAGGAGGGGUAAGUAAGACAGUGGGAGAAGCGCUAAUCCGACCCACCCAAGUAGAGGGGGAGGCAUGGUUGUUGUGAAGUUCUAUUGGCUGUGAAGCGGUAUCUGCAGAAUAAGCACCGGCUAACUACGUGCCAGCAGCCGCGGUAAUUC
rnacentral:rRNA from 1 species